UUGGGAAUCUUGGACAAUGGGGGAAACCCUGAUCCAGCCAUGCCGCGUGAGUGAUGAAGGCCUUCGGGUUGUAAAACUCUUUCGCGCACGACGAUAAUGACGGUAGUGCGAGAAGAAGCUCCGGCUAACUUCGUGCCAGCAGCCGCGGUAAUACGAAGGGGGCUAGCGUUGUUCGGAAUUACUGGGCGUAAAGCGCGCGCAGGCGGUCUUCCAAGUCAGUGGUGAAAGCCCGGAGCUCAACUCCGGAACUGCCAUUGAAACUGUGAGACUUGAGUAUGAGAGAGGUGAGUGGAAUUCCCAGUGUAGAGGUGAAAUUCGUAGAUAUUGGGAAGAACACCGGUGGCGAAGGCGGCUCACUGGCUCAUUACUGACGCUCAGGCGCGACAGCGUGGGGAUCAAACAG
rnacentral:rRNA from 1 species